CUUUUUUUUUUUUUAAGAGUGCUACCAAUAAAGCUAUCUUUAAAGCAAAGAAUCAUUUUUGGUGUACCCUGUCUAGAACACACACAAGGGGGUCAGUGGGGUGGAUAUAUUUUGCAAUUUUUUACACAUAUGGGGUGGGGCCCAUGGGAGUACUCUGUGAAGAAUUUAUUUUGCACACACAGACUAAUUCCAAAGCAAAAAGGAGAUGCUCAAUCCAUUUAUACAGAAAUGGUAAAGGGGCCCCUUUUUUCGACUUUGACUCACUUUAGUUGUCGAUUGAUUUUCUUCCCGCUGUUUCGAAAGCAGUUGUUUCAGCUGCAACCACUAUAAUUUUUGAUAUUCCUUUUUAUUUCUCAUCAAACAAAUCAUAGUUAUUCUUAACAUGAAAUUGGGAAAUUAUUGUUAUAACUUAUCACUCGAACGGGUAAUUUUUUCCCCUGAACGAAGAUAGAACGACGCUAGUCAUAACUAUCGCUUUCAGGCAUAUAAAAAACACCACUAUACAUGCAAGUUUAAAUUCAAUUCAGGACAAGACUACGAAGAAAUGAAACAAACAUUAAAGGUGUGUUUGAUUACAUUUAUUUUCCAUGGAAAAUAUUAGUUUUCCAUCCAAAUUUUCACUUGAAGUGUUUGAUUGCUAUUUUUUUCCAUGAAAAACAUUUCCCAACUUUUGAAAAUAUGCCUAAUUUUUCUUGUUAUUAAGGAAAAUAUUUUCCUUGAGUAGAGGUGAUUUUUAUUUUCCACAAAAGAUGGAAAAUAUUUUCUUUUCUAGGUGAUAUUUUUCAUUUCAAUUAAACACAUAAGAAAAUGCAGAGUCUUCCAUUUGUAUUCAUAACGAACAAGACGUACAGUUAUCGAAAUAUCUGUAUCACUUUCGAGUGCUGAUAUUCAGGUUAAACAUCAAACUAAUAAGAUCUGUCAAUCAAUUAAAUACUCAUGUAAUUCCUACUCCAAACAAGAAAAUAUCAAAUUACCCAGCCAAAUUAUCAAUUAAAAAUAAGUUUUUUUAUAUAUUUUUCGAAAAUCAAACAUUACAAUUUUUCAAUAUUUUCACCAAAAACACGAAUACCGAUUCUAGAUUCUUUCCUUUGAUGUAUUUGAUUUGGCAGGAAAUCUGAAACUACCCAAUCAAAUUUGUCUCUAAAAAGAAAACAGAUUUAUCACUCAAAUUAAAUGCUCAUUAAUUAUUUUACCAAGAUCCAGCUAUACACCAUCACAAUUGACAAAAUAAUUAUUAAAUCCAGACCUAUCACAGAGCAAAUCAAUUACCGAUCAAUUGGAAUCCAAUAAGAACACAGCGUUUCACAUAUAAACAUUCACCGCGGCCUCCGAUUCAGUUGAUGCAAGGCAGGAACAUGAUUUUCGCCAAAAACAACGACAUCAUUUACAAGCAUAUGGUAGACAUUUGUAUUCACAAAGUUCGGAUCGCUCAUCGACGUGAAAACGACGCCGUAGUAAGCGAACAAUGUUCCCGACCUGCACCAAGCGAAUCUGAGACCACUGCAACAAAAAGAUAUACAAAUUUAUGUAUUAUACGGUACCUAUAGAAUUAGAUCUGAGAAAAAGAAACAGAGAGAAACUGAGAUUUUGUAGGCGUGUGAAUAUGUGAGAGAGGUGAUUUG
rnacentral:lncRNA from 1 species